ACAGUAAAAUUACUAGAUUAUAUUAAACUGGGAGGAGUGGUGACCUGCAGCAAGGACAGAGGAAGAGAGAUUAGAAACAUGGAUGGAAAAUGAGGGCUGGUCUUGGAAAAGUACAAACCAGUACAUCCAGAGAAAAGAUAACUGAAGCACAGACAUUCAGUGGAAAGGAGAAACAUGGACCCCUGUGACUCCAAGACACACCUGCAGUAACAGCGGAAAGCGAAUUAGACAUGAAUUUACAGCGGGAUAUAGCAAUGCAGAAGACCUAUGUGGUUUUGGACUGCAUACACAGAAGCAUCAUGUCUUAACAUCAGAGGUGACAUGCAGAAGGCUUCACUCCUUACACCAAACAAUUCCAGAGAUGGACUUACAUCUUCAGCCAAUGUUCAGUUCCCACGGAACUCUAGUGGUCCCUACCUUCAAACAACAUGAGAACUACAAAAAUAAUACAUCUCAAAACGUGGAAUUCCAGAUUUCAAACAGAACACAACACCAAUCUCUGUCUACAGAUUUAUCUAUCAGAUGUUAAAUUCUUUUGGGAAAAAAGCAAAUAGCUACACUUGAGGGGAAGACCUGUGGAAAAAACAGCCUGUCCCAUGAAUCUGGGGAUCGCUGGCAAUCCCAUUCUGAGUAUCGG